UUUACCUAAAAGGUAGCAUCUGGAAUCCGAGGGAUGCUAUAGAUCUCCUCCCCCAAACCCAAGAUUUCAGAAAUGGGUGCUCCAUGCCUCCAUGCCUCAAGUGCAUCGCGGUCACCGGCGGUAGAGGGUGGGUGGCAAGAGCAUAAACAGUCAGAGACCCCCUCCACAACACUGUCAGCCCCAUCAGGGCUGAGCCCGAGCCCCUUCUCCACUCGCAAAACCAAAGUUGGCUUUCCGGGUGACAGCCUCCUGCGAAGAGGCGGGGUGGGGGGACAGGGCCACUGCCUGGGGCAAGCUUGGAGGCAAAGAAGGGAAAGUGAAGCCCGGAGAGGAGGGCGAGGGGAGGCAGCCCACCUGGACAUGUGCUCCCUUUGGGGCCGGUGUGCUUUCUCCAGCCCCAGCUUGGUGAAGAUACCCACGAGCACCAUGACAGCCACCACCCCGCAGAUGAUGUAGACGAUCAGGUGAACGAAGGACCAGCACUGCAUUGAGGUCCAGGAAGAUUGAGACAAGAUCCCGUCUUGGACACUGUACACACUCAAAAAGAAACAGAAGGAUCAAGGACUCUCCCCUGGCUCUGAAGUCUUGCUUCUGUUUGUACAGUCAUGAGGAUGAGCACCCCACGAUGACACUCACAUAAAGGCCCCCUCUGACCAGAGAUGAUGGAUUCCUGACCUAGAAGGAACUAAUUAGUCAUGAUUCUGCCGAGCAGCCCAUUAUAUUUCCCUUCAAGAAGCUGAGCUAAGAAACACAGAGACUGCGGAGGGUGAGGAAGAAGAAUCAAGUGACAUGAAUGUUAGAAGUCAGAUUGAAGUCACACAAGAGCAGAAAUCAUAACGAUCUGAUUUGCUGCUUUAUGACCACUGCCAACACUUCCACACAUAGUAGGUGCUCAAUAAGUAUUCGCUGAAAAAAAUCACAAGAUGUAAAGCUCAUAAACUCCUACUGCUUCGGCCUUCUAGCUCAUUUCCUUUUCUCUCUUUUUUUUUUUUUUUUCUUAUUUCACGAGAUUUUCAUCUUUCCUAAAAGCUCCACUUCUAUCUAAGCUAAUUUGAGUAGAUUUGGGUAUCUUUUAUUCAAAAGAGCCUCUCAGCCACUGGGACCAACUCAACAAACAUGAUGGACAAGCUUCUUUUCUUCUACGUACAACUCAAACAAGUGGGGAAAAGAGCCCUUAAUCCUUGUCAGUGAGAGUAUGUUAAUACCUCCAAUCAUGGGGAGAUGAUAUACAUUUGAGUACAGUUUUGUCAGCAUUUGAGGCACGAACCUUAAAAUCUACAACCCUCCCUCAAGGAGUCUGUUCUUGUGUGGAAAGUAUCUGAAUCCUUGCAUAUAAGACUGUAGACAAGAACAUGUGAUGUAGAAUGCAACCGUGAAAAAUUGCCAGCAACCUAAACGUCUGCCAACAGAGAAGAGGCUCAAUAGAUGGAAUAAUAAAUAAAUAUGAUGCUAGACAGUAGCUAUCUCUAAAAAGUACUCCUUAGGAGAAAGAUUUUAAAAAAUAAGAAAGUCUUCUCCAUUUCUUAUUUUAUUUCUUCUGACAUGCCUUACUUUUGCGAUUUUAAUAAAUCCAUAAGUUUUCUUUAAUCAAACAUGACUUUAUUGAGUCUCAUGGAAAGUAUGUAUAUUCUUCAUUCUACCUCAUUCACUUUAUUGAAUAAAACAAUGUCAGUGGAAAACACAAAAAAUACACAUAAAAACACAUUUUAUGCAUAUUUGGCACAUAAAAAUAUUAAGAAUCAAGGCAUUUUUGAUACAUCCUAAUCUUUCAUUCCAAAAUUGGGGUCACGUUGUAAAGCCAAGGUCUGUCUUCUACUAGCUGUGAAUUCAUUAAAAGCGUAAAAGUUAGUUACUAAAGAUUUGUCAACCAGCAAUGAAAUCAGUGUUACUGCCCUGGGUACUAUUGUUACUCUACCCAGAUGUUCUUGGAUUCCUUUAACCAUGUCCCAUGUCCCUUAUCUGCUUUGAGGAUCUUUGCUUCUACUGCCAUGCACAGGCAAGUUUUAGAGGAAAAGACGCCCUCUCAGGCUACUAAGAACAUUUGCCUGGAGACCCAGGGAGUCACAGUGGUCAGAAGUUACAGCUCUGGCCAACAGCAUGGGAGGAGAUUUGGUUAAUGUCAUAUGGGUGCAGGAAUAUAAAAUUCCAGCUCUCUUGUCUGAAGCACAAGCUUUGAGAUAUGGUUCCACACUCUUGUGCAUCAAGAGACUAUCUUGUGGGCCAGUGGGAUCAUGGAACUUUGUCAGGUUUGUUUUUUUUUUUUUUUUUUUUUUUUUUUUUUGCAAAACACUUCUGUACAAGAGUUCCUGUCUCAGGUCCCUCUGAAAAGCUCAACCUCAAAAAAUUAAUUGUAUAAGUUUAAGCUCAAGAUCAGAAACACAAAGUGCAAAUUCAUUGGUCUAAGACCAGCUACAGUAAGUACCUAUUCUAUGGUUUCACAAGUCAGGAUGACUCAGAUCAUAGCUGAUGUAAAGACAGUUUCUUGCAGCUUUCACUAUACUGUUUACUAUUCAGGUUCUGUCACCUGCUAAUGAUUCUGUCUAUUAAAACAUACAUUAUCUUCUCUUGUUCACAUGUGUUAAGGCAAAAAAGGUUUCAUUUGAGAAAUUAAGUUUUCCUAGCUACAUUGAUCCUUAAAAUUAUUGACAUCUGGAAUUGCAAUAAAAACUUUGUAGAUUCUU